rnacentral:lncRNA from 1 species
UCACGGUUACCGGGGCGACAGGGGCCUCAUUUGCAUAGACCUCCUUGAUUGGCUAAGGGAGAGCAGGGUCUUUGGGAGGUGGGGCAAAAGCCUUUCCUUCUCUCCCACGGAAAGCCACGCCUUGUCCAAGCUCCGCCCGGUCCCCGCCCGCACGCCGGGCGGGGGCUGCUGACCUGGGCAGGCGCUCAGCGCCCCGCAGACUCAGUGUCAAUCCGGUCUGGAGCGCAAGUUUCGCUUUUAGAAAUUGUCAAGGUGACCAAGGGGACACUUGCGGGAAUUCUCUUUCCUUUGGCCAGUCAGUGUAAUAGAUGAGCAAAAUCUGGAGAUUCUCCCAAAUAUGUUCCAAAGGCAAGUUGGACCACGCGGACGAUGCCUGGCAGGGCAUUUGGUAGAAAACAAACGUUUUGACACGGUAACAUGCGGUGAACCCCAGGAUGAAGUGGUAGAGAGAAGGGUCCGAAGAGAGAAGAGAAGGUGUUGGAAAACGAGAUGCGAAAAUUUGAGCUACAGCUGGAGUUGCCAACGCCUUGUUGGGUGUUUGUCAUCUUCGUGGCCCUUCUCAUCCUGCCAGUUAACAUAACGAGCGCUGAAUUCCUAUUCAUUCACACGUACGUGCACACACACACACACAACACACACACACACGCUCGUACUUUAUAUAUAAAGUUUGAUGUUACAAUCUUUUCUAAAAGUCUUUGUUUUCUUUUUUAUUUAAAAAUUUUGGGGGGCGCCUGGGUGGCUCAGUCGGUUAAGCAUCCGACUUCAGCUCAGGUCAUGAUCUCACAGUCCGUGAGUUCGAGGCCCGUGUCGGGCUCUGUGCUGACAGCUCUGAGCCUGGAGCCUGUUUCAGAUUCCGUGUCUCCCUCUCUCUGA